UGAAUAUUCUCAGGCGCUCGAGAGAACGCUGGCGAAGGAACUCGGCAACAUAGCCCCGUAACUUCGGGAUAAGGGGCGCCUCCGGGGGUGUUAAAGCUUCUGGAGGCCGCAGAGAAAUGGGUCUAGCGACUGUUUACUAAAAACACAGGUCUGUGCCAACGCGUAAGCGGAAGUAUACAGACUGACGCCUGCCCGGUGCCGGCAAGUUAAGGAAGAGGGUUAGCCCGUAAGGGUGAAGCUCGCAACCGAAGCUCCGGUAAGCGGCGGCCGUAACUAUGACGGCCCUAAGGUAGCGAAAUUCCUUGUCGGGUAAGUUCCGACCUGCAUGAAUGGCGUAACGACUGGACCACUGUCUCCGCCAGUGACUCGGUGAAACUGUAGUCGUCGUGAAGAUGCGACGUACCCGCGACUAGACGGAAAGACCCCGUGAACCUUUACUGUAGGAUAAUAUUGGGUUUAGGCCCGACAUGCGUAGCGUAGCUGGGAGACUGCGACCGUGGACUUCCGGGUCCAUGCGAGUCGACGAUGAAACACCAGCCUUGUCGUGCUUGAAUUCUAACCCCGACCCGUGAAUCCGGGCGGCGGACAGUGUUAUCUGGGCAGUUUGAUUGGGGCGAUCUCCUCCUAAAGAGUAACGGAGGAGUCCAAAGGUACCCUCAGCCCGGUCGGCAAUCGGGCAUCGAGCGUAAAGGUAUAAGGGUGCUUAACUGCGAGACCGAUGGGUCGAGCAGAUGCGAAAGCAGGGCUUAGUGAUCCGGCGGUUCCGAAUGGAAGGGCCGUCGCUCAACAGAUAAAAGGUACUCCGGGGAUAACAGGCUUAUCUCCUCUGAGCGUUCAUAGCGGCGAGGAGGUUUGGCACCUCGAUGUCGGCUCAUCGCAUCCUGGGGGUGGAGAAGCUCCCAAGGGUUUGGCUGUUCGCCAAUGAAAGCGGUACGUGAGCUGGGUUUAGACCGUCGUGAGACAGGUCGGUCCCUAUCUGUCGUGGGCGAAGGAGACUUGAGCGGUUUUCUCUCUAGUACGAGAGGAUUGAGAGGGACGAACCUCUGGUGUGCCAGUUGUCGCGCUUGCGGCAGCGCUGGGUAGCCAACGUUCGGCCAGGAUAAACGCUGAAGGCAUAUAAGCGUGAAACCCUCCGCAAGAUGAGGUCUCCUGCACUUAGGUGCGAAGGCUCCUGGAAGACCACCAGGUCGAUAGGCCGGAGGUGUGCGAGCAGCAAUGCUUUCAGCCGACCGGUACUAACAGCCGUACGCUUGACCGC
rnacentral:rRNA from 1 species